UUUUUAGUAGAAAUAUGUCCCAUGCAGUAUUUGGAGCAUACUUCUACUAAAA
rnacentral:pre_miRNA from 1 species